rnacentral:rRNA from 1 species
GGGUGACUGCGUACCUUUUGUAUAAUGGGUCAGCGACUUAUAUUCUGUAGCAAGGUUAACCGUAUAGGGGAGCCGCAGGGAAACCGAGUCUUAACUGGGCGUUAAGUUGCAGGGUAUAGACCCGAAACCCGGUGAUCUAGCCAUGGGCAGGUUGAAGGUUGGGUAACACUAACUGGAGGACCGAACCGACUAAUGUUGAAAAAUUAGCGGAUGACUUGUGGCUGGGGGUGAAAGGCCAAUCAAACCGGGAGAUAGCUGGUUCUCCCCGAAAGCUAUUUAGGUAGCGCCUCGUGAACUCAUCUUCGGGGGUAGAGCACUGUUUCGGCUAGGGGGUCAUCCCGACUUACCAACCCGAUGCAAACUACGAAUACCGAAGAAUGUUAUCACGGGAGACACACGGCGGGUGCUAACGUCCGUCGUGAAGAGGGAAACAACCCAGACCGCCAGCUAAGGUCCCAAAGUCAUGGUUAAGUGGGAAACGAUGUGGGAAGGCCCAGACAGCCAGGAUGUUGGCUUAGAAGCAGCCAUCAUUUAAAGAAAGCGUAAUAGCUCACUGGUCGAGUCGGCCUGCGCGGAAGAUGUAACGGGGCUAAACCAUGCACCGAAGCUGCGGCAGCGACACUAUGUGUUGUUGGGUAGGGGAGCGUUCUGUAAGCCGUUGAAGGUGGCCUGUGAGGGUUGCUGGAGGUAUCAGAAGUGCGAAUGCUGACAUAAGUAACGAUAAUGCGGGUGAAAAACCCGCACGCCGGAAGACCAAGGGUUCCUGUCCAACGUUAAUCGGGGCAGGGUGAGUCGACCCCUAAGGCGAGGCCGAAAGGCGUAGUCGAUGGGAAACAGGUUAAUAUUCCUGUACUCGGUGUUACUGCGAAGGGGGGACGGAGAAGGCUAUGUUGGCCGGGCGACGGUUGUCCCGGUUUAAGCAUGUAGGCGGAUGUUCCAGGUAAAUCCGGAACGUCACUAACGCUGAGGUGUGAUGACGAGGCACUACGGUGCUGAAGUGACAAAUGCCCUGCUUCCAGGAAAAGCCUCUAAGCAUCAGGUAACAUCAAAUCGUACCCCAAACCGACACAGGUGGUCAGGUAGAGAAUACCAAGGCGCUUGAGAGAACUCGGGUGAAGGAACUAGGCAAAAUGGUGCCGUAACUUCGGGAGAAGGCACGCUGAUGGUAAGUGAAGCGACUUGCUCGUGGAGCUGAAAUCAGUCGAAGAUACCAGCUGGCUGCAACUGUUUAUUAAAAACACAGCACUGUGCAAACACGAAAGUGGACGUAUACGGUGUGACGCCUGCCCGGUGCCGGAAGGUUAAUUGAUGGGGUUAUCCGUAAGGAGAAGCUCUUGAUCGAAGCCCCGGUAAACGGCGGCCGUAACUAUAACGGUCCUAAGGUAGCGAAAUUCCUUGUCGGGUAAGUUCCGACCUGCACGAAUGGCGUAAUGAUGGCCAGGCUGUCUCCACCCGAGACUCAGUGAAAUUGAACUCGCUGUGAAGAUGCAGUGUACCCGCGGCAAGACGGAAAGACCCCGUGAACCUUUACUAUAGCUUGACACUGAACACUGGUCCUUGAUGUGUAGGAUAGGUGGGAGGCUUUGAAGUGUGGACGCCAGUCUGCAUGGAGCCAUCCUUGAAAUACCACCCUUUAAUGGCUGGUGUUCUAACGUGGGCCCCUAAUCGGGGUUGCGGACAGUGUCUGGUGGGUAGUUUGACUGGGGCGGUCUCCUCCUAAAGAGUAACGGAGGAGCACGAAGGUCAGCUAAUCCUGGUCGGACAUCAGGAGGUUAGUGCAAUGGCAUAAGCUGGCUUGACUGCGAGCGUGACGGCGCGAGCAGGUGCGAAAGCAGGUCAUAGUGAUCCGGUGGUUCUGAAUGGAAGGGCCAUCGCUCAACGGAUAAAAGGUACUCCGGGGAUAACAGGCUGAUACCGCCCAAGAGUUCAUAUCGACGGCGGUGUUUGGCACCUCGAUGUCGGCUCAUCACAUCCUGGGGCUGAAGUAGGUCCCAAGGGUAUGGCUGUUCGCCAUUUAAAGUGGUACGCGAGCUGGGUUUAGAACGUCGUGAGACAGUUCGGUCCCUAUCUGCCGUGGGCGCUGGAGAAUUGAGGGGGGCUGCUCCUAGUACGAGAGGACCGGAGUGGACGCAUCACUGGUGUUCGGGUUGUCAUGCCAAUGGCAUUGCCCGGUAGCUAAAUGCGGAAGAGAUAAGUGCUGAAAGCAUCUAAGCACGAAACUUGCCCCGAGAUGAGUUCUCCCUGACCCUUUAAGGGUCCUGAAGGAACGUUGAAGACGACGACGUUGAUAGGCCGGGUGUGUAAGCGCAGCGAUGCGUUGAGCUAACCGGUACUAAUGAACCGUGAGGCUUAACCUUACAACGCCGAAG